rnacentral:rRNA from 1 species
AUGGACUGCUUCUUGACACGUGGAUACCUAAAGGGCUCUAGGAAUGUGCAGUUGUUGGGCAUUGCCUGCAUCACCCUAGCCACCCGCAUUGAAGAGAACCAGCCAUACAAUAGCAUCAUGCAGAAGUAUUUCAUGGUAGGGAUCAACCUUUAUAGCCGGAGCGAGGUCGUCGCCAUGGAGUGGCUGGUUCAGGAGGUCCUGGACUUCCAAUGCUUCGUCAUGACAGUCCACAAUUUUCUCUGGUUCUAUCUAAAGGCAACAAAAGCAGACGACAAAGUUGAGGAUCUGUCCAAGCACCUGGCCCUGCUCACACUUCUGGACUAUAAGCACCUCUCCUACUAG